GGGGGCUGGCCCUCAUCUGGGAGGUCAGGAAAUGCUUCCCCGAGGAAAGGCUAUUUAAGCUGAAACCUGAGUACAGACGGGGUUUCACCAUAUUGGCCAGCUGGUCUCAAACUCCUGACCUUGUGCUCUGCCUGCCUCGGCCUCCCAAAGUGCUGGGAUUACAGGCAUGAGCCACCGCACCCGGCCCAAGCAUUAUUAUUUUCAAGAUGUCCUUCCAUCUGUGAUGAUAAUACAGGCAGUCCUCAACUUAACAAUGGUUCGACUUAAACAAUACUGUGACUUUAUAAAGGUGCUUUCAGUUGUGUAUAUUAAUGAGACAAGGUCCCCUGUGUUGCCCAGGCAGCUCUGGAACUCCUGGGCUCAAACUAUCUGCCUGCUUCAGCCUCCCAAAAUGCUGGGAUUACAGGUGUGAGCCACUGGGCCUAGCCAAAUGUAAUUCUUAGAUAAUCUUGAAAUAUAAAUUUCUUUUGUCCAUUACCAAA